AUUGAACGCUGGCGGCAGGCCUAACACAUGCAAGUCGAGCGGAGCGGCGGACGGGUGAGUAAUGCCUAGGAAUCUGCCUGGGGGUGGGGGAUAACGUCCGGAAACGGGCGCUAAUACAGCAUACUAUCAGAUCAGUCUCGGUCGGAUUAGCUAGUUGGUGGGGUAAAGCCCUACCAAGGCGAUGAUCUGUAACUGGUCUGAGUGGAUGAUCAGUCACACUGGAACUGAUACACGGUCCAGACGCCUACGGGAGGCAGCAGUGGGGAAUAUUGGACAAUGGGCGAAAGCCUGAUCCAGCCAUGCCGCGUGUGUGAAGAAGGUCUUCGGAUUGUAAAGCACUUUAAGUUGGGAGGCGUUACCCGCAGAGGAAGCACCGGCUAACUCCGUGCCAGCAGCCGCGGUAAUUC
rnacentral:rRNA from 1 species